AGUGCUAGCACAUUUGUGUUAGCUUUUCUUUAGCGNAAAAAACUAGAGGAAUAAGGGCUGGGUAAGACGGGUGCCAGCCGCCGCGGUAAUACCUGCAGCCCAAGUGGUGGUCGAUUUUAUUGAGUCUAAAACGUUCGUAGCCGGUUCGAUAAAUCUUUGGGUAAAUCGGGGGGCUUAACCUUCCGACUUCCGAGGAGACUGCCGAACUUGGGACCGGGAGAGGCUAGAGGUACUUCUGGGGUAGGGGUAAAAUCCUGUAAUCCUAGAAGGACCACCGGUGGCGAAGGCGUCUAGCUAGAACGGAUCCGACGGUGAGGGACGAAGCCCUGGGUCGCAAACGGGAUUAGAUACCCCGGUAGUCCAGGGUGUAAACGCUGCAGACUUGGUGUUGGAGGCCCUUUGGGGGCAUUCAGUGCCGGAGAGAAGUUGUUAAGUCUGCUACUUGGGGAGUACGUCCGCAAGGAUGAAACUUAAAGGAAUUGGCGGGGGAGCACCGCAACGGGAGGAGCGUGCGGUUUA
rnacentral:rRNA from 1 species